CCCUAGCCCCGAUAGUAGUGAAAAUCCUUUUGUGCCGGGGUUCGGCACAAAAGAUUGUAACGGAUAGCGGGAAAUAGC
rnacentral:sRNA from 2 species